AAUGAACGCUGGCGGCAGGCCUAAAACAUGCAAGUCGAACGCUCUAGCAAUAGAGAGUGGCGCACGGGUGAGUAACACGUGGGAAUAUGCCUUUUGGUACGGAACAACGUCUGGAAACGGACGCUAAUACCGUAUGGUCCCUCCGGGGUAAAGAUUUAUCGCCAAAAGAUUAGCCCGCGUCUGAUUAGCUAGUUGGUGAGGUAAUGGCUCACCAAGGCGACGAUCAGUAGCUGGUCUGAGAGGACGAUCAGCCACACUGGGACUGAGACACGGCCCAGACUCCUACGGGAGGCAGCAGUUAGGAAUAUUGGACAAUGGGCGCAAGCCUGAUCCAGCCAUGCCGCGUGAGUGAUGAAGGCCUUCGGGUUGUAAAGCUCUUUAGUCCACGAAUAUAAUGACUGUAGUGGAAGAAUAAGCCCCGGCUAACUUCGUGCCAGCCGCCGCCGUAACAC
rnacentral:rRNA from 1 species